rnacentral:miRNA from 1 species
UGUGUUUGCAUAGUGUGUGUAUAAUGCAGUGUGUUUGUGUAGUGUGUUUAUAUAAUGCACACUACACAAACACACUGCAUUAUAUACACACUAUACAAACUC